GAAGGACUCGGGUCGGGACGGGACGGGACGGGUCGGACUGGAGUCGGUCGAUUUUGCCGCCGGAUCCAGUAACUUAGGACCGGGCUGUGUAUCGCAGGCAGCCGGAGGACAAAGACAGUGCAAGUUGUUACCGAGACUGCAGCAGAGCGGCACAGCAUCACUUGGUGCUCUUGAGUAUACCAGCUUCUUGCAGUCCUUGCCCAGAAUCACCUCCCGCUCCCACUGCCAACCGCCUGUCGAAGUUAGGGUCACGGCGGUCCGGAGCCCAUCCCGGAAGCACGGCGCACUUGACCAGUCACGGUGCACCCUCAACGGGAUACCAGUCCACGUGAGGCAGCACAAUGACCUCCUCGAUGGCUCCGAUUCCGCACCCAAGAUCAGCCCGUCCAUUGAGAGGGCCCUACUUGCAGUGUCAGAAGUUCUCCAGAGACCGGCUUGGAAUCGAAGGAUCAGCACCUAAAUGGUUGUCGUCUUACCUCUGUGGUACAUCGUCCGUCUUCCCUCCAGUCUCUCAACUGAUGUCAUGCAAACCACGGUCCCUGUAGCUCCGCUCAUCUCCAUCUAUACUGCUUCCCUGCUUCCCCUAACUUUGAGAGUCGCACGUCAAGAUCUAUUCAUAUGUUGUAAAAUGGAUUUUUGUAUAACCCGAGUUGAAUAUAUUGCAACUGAUAUGCUUUCUCAUUUCAUGCAGACCUUAUAGCAAAG